UCAGCAUGUGUCAUAGCAGUAUAGUUUUCCUUAAAUAUUUUUCUCCUUUUUUUCAUUGUUUUUUAUAAGGUUUGCUUACGACCACACAGUAGUGUAUAAAGAAACGAUAAAUUUGCUAUAAUUUAAAAUGUUCGUUAUUCUGACUGAAAAUUUGUUACAAUCUACUUAAUCUAAUUCAUAUCAGACGAAAUGAGGGCCUAGUAGAAAAACAGAAAGAGAAGAUGAAUCCUGAACUGGUCAACUUGACGUCUUUUUUUUUUGAGGAAACUUCUUGGAUGUUGCAAUGAUAAUAUCAUUCUACCAAAGCACCGUCGUUGUGAUGAAUUUGCUGGCUUGUAAGAAUAUCUAGAGAUUGUUAAAUUUGAAAACCAAGUGAUACUUUUUUAAAGAAGGUAGUGCAAUAAAUUUUUAAAUUGUUUAUAUGCUAACCAACAUGAUAUAUUGCAAAGA